rnacentral:rRNA from 1 species
GACGAACGCUGGCGGCGUGCCUAAUACAUGCAAGUGGGACGCAAGGAAACACACUGUGCUUGCACACCGUGUUUUCUUGAGUCGCGAACGGGUGAGUAACGCGUAGGUAACCUGCCUAUUAGCGGGGGAUAACUAUUGGAAACGAUAGCUAAUACCGCAUAAUAUUAAUUAUUGCAUGAUAAUUGAUUGAAAGAUGCAAGCGCAUCACUAGUAGAUGGACCUGCGUUGUAUUAGCUAGUUGGUAAGGUAAGAGCUUACCAAGGCGACGAUACAUAGCCGACCUGAGAGGGUGAUCGGCCACACUGGGACUGAGACACGGCCCAGACUCCUACGGGAGGCAGCAGUAGGGAAUCUUCGGCAAUGGACGAAAGGCUGACCGAGCAACGCCGCGGGAGUGAAGAAGGUUUUCGGAUCGUAAAGCUCUGUUGUAAGUCAAGAACGUGGGUGAGAGUGGAAAGUUCACAAAGUGACGGUAGCUUAACAGAAAGGGACGGCUAACUACGUG